rnacentral:piRNA from 1 species
UAGGUUUACAGAAAUCUUGGUUCCAGUCC